rnacentral:rRNA from 1 species
GAUGAACGCUGGCGGCGUGCCUAAUACAUGCAAGUCGAGCGAAUGGAUUGAGAGCUUGCUCUUAUGAAGUUAGCGGCGGACGGGUGAGUAACACGUGGGUAACCUGCCCAUAAGACUGGGAUAACUCCGGGAAACCGGGGCUAAUACCGGAUAACAUUUUGAACCGCAUGGUUCGAAAUUGAAAGGCGGCUUCGGCUGUCACUUAUGGAUGGACCCGCGUCGCAUUAGCUAGUUGGUGAGGUAACGGCUCACCAAGGCAACGAUGCGUAGCCGAGCUGAGAGGGUGAUCGGCCACUCUUGGACUGAGACACGGCCCAGACUCCUACGGGAGGCAGCAGUAGGGAAUCUUCCGCAAUGGACGAAAGUCUGACGGAGCAACGCCGCGUGAGUGAGGAAGGCUUUCGGGUCGUAAAACUCUGUUGUUAGGGAAGAACAAGUGCUAGUUGAAUAAGCUGGCACCUUGACGGUACCUAACCAGAAAGCCACGGCUAACUACGUGCCAGCCGCCGCCGUAA